GACGGAGGAUGCAAGUGUUAUCCGGAAUCACUGGGCGUAAAGCGUCUGUAGGUGGUCAAAUAAGUCAACUGUUAAAUCUUGAGGCUCAACCUCAAAAUCGCAGUCGAAACUAUUCGACUAGAGUAUAGUAGGGGUAAAGGGAAUUUCCAGUGGAGCGGUGAAAUGCGUAGAGAUUGGAAAGAACACCAACGGCGAAAGCACUCUGCUGGGCCGACACUGACACUGAGAGACGAAAGCUAGGGGAGCGAAUGGG
rnacentral:rRNA from 1 species